CAGAGAGUGUCUUGGAAGUCUUGUAAAUGUUUACAAGGAGUAUUUGAACAUAACACUCCCACAGCAAUAUGUUAUGUCAGCCAUAAAGAGCAUUGAAACAUCAGACUCCCACAGCAAUAUGUUAUGCCAGCCACAAAUCCCAGAUGGGAAACUUUCAGAGACGGCCACUUGGGCGGGCCAGUGACUGUGGGCUUGUCCAGGUCACAUGGGUGACUUCAGAGACACCAAUGCCCUGAAAUGCUCUGCCCUGACACACGCACAGAGAGCACUGAAGAUACUGGUCUGUGGAGUCCUCUGUGUGUACAGCUAGGCAUCAGAAAUGGAGGCUUCCCAAAUUAGAAGCUACUUCUAAAAUCUGUCUUCUUCAACUUUCUCAGUAAAUCGGAAGCAGAACCAGGAAAAGAACGUAGGAGCCAUGACUCUGUUGUUUCCCAAACUGUGCCCCACAGGGAAUUUGGAUUCACAAACAAGCAAGCUCAUUUUCUCUAGUGGGAAACAUCAUUAGGAACCACUGACAGCAGUGAAGGCAACCCUCCAACUCCCUCCACCCUGCAGAACCAAACAAAACAGAGUGAAGUCCCACGGGAGCUGAGGCAGGGGUUCCAGUUCCUAGCACUCUAUUGUUUACCCUGAUGGUUUCCAGAUGCUGGAGACAAGGACAGUGAAAUCUUUGGGAUGCUGCCAAAGAAUGAAAAAGACUAAAGAAAACACUGAAGAAUUGUGCUGCUUUCCAGCUCCAAAACCAGAUCAGACCAUGCUGAAUGCUAAAACAAUACAACAUUUUUAUCACCCUUAAAGUGAUGAAGCACAGACUCAACCUUAAUUUUUUACCUCUUAAAAAAACCCAAUAAAAUCUAAUCUGUGUUUGAAAAUAAGACUCCC
rnacentral:lncRNA from 1 species